CCCAUCCUCGCUCGCGGGCUCUCUGCCUCUCUCGCUCGCUGUCGGAUAAAGGAGAAAAAGAGAAUGGGUAGAUCGGUCCUCUCCCAUGUUAUAAGCCUCUCCAUCACUUCUCCUCGCUUCCUCUCUAAAAUGCAGGUCUAGUGGUCGACUGCAGAGAAACUACUUGGGAAGAUUGGGCCGAAUACAUCGCCAUCCAAUCCCAGAUGGUUACUUUGAUAGUUCUCGAUGCUACUGCACUGUUGUUUCUGUUUCCCAAUCCGACGCAUCGGAUAUACCUUCGACCUCUGUGAUGUUCACUAUGAGGAAAUCAUGUCCGUUUCAGCUUAUUUGGAUAGAGUUUUGGCAGUGGGAGCCACGAAAGCUGCCGUAAUAGCAGAUGCUACUCUCAACAAUAUCUACCAAGAGAUCAGAUUCCACAGAAAGAAUUUUUGUGAGGUUAUUAUCGGUGAACCAGGUUACGAUCGGUGAUCCGUCGUCCUUGCAACACCACUAUAUCUGGGAUUGCAGUGACUUAAUCAGGUUUGAGGUGUGUUUCUUGUUUCAUUUGGUAUGCCCAGGAGGUGAACCUUGUGGUAGACCUUCAACAUUCUUUUAGUGACAAUUUCUACAUUAUUUCUGUCUGGGUAUGAAGAUCAACUGAUGAUCAUAUACAUUGAAGAAAUAAAUGGGUAGGGGCAACAGAAAAUAGCAGAAGUUGGAUCUGAAUUUUGAUCUGUUCAUUGAUCUGAUCAGGACCCUACUUUUAUUGGCUACCUGCCUGAAGUCAGAUAUACUUGGAAUGGUUUAGAGAGAAUCUCUUAACCAAGGGUUAAUUCGGGUGGUUGGAUGGGACUCAGAAAGAGUGUAUAUGACCUUCCACAAUAGGGAUGGUUAGGUAAUGAUGAGAUUGUGUGGUGGAGUCACUAUUCCAGGAGUCAAAUCACAGUGUGUCAAACACAGGAGUGAAGGAAAACUUUUUCCUUCAUUUAUAUGAUUAAUCUAGAUGAAAGGUUUUCCUGAGGAAUCUAACUCUCUAUUUGCACAGUAUGUUCUGUUCUAUCUAUCUUUGGGUAAAAGCUCCUCACCACCCCCAGCUGAAGGGAGUAAGAAAUGGUGUUAGAAAUGUCUUUUUAUUAUUUCUCAACUAAGUGGAGGCUCAUUUUGCAGAAAAUAUUGGGAAAAAUAAGUUUGUUUUAGAAGGGUAUGUAACAGAAAUCCUUAGAAACUAUGAAUUGCAGAAUCAUGUUAUGCAUUUCAAUUAAUUUCUUAAAGUAGAACCCUAAUAUGAUUCUUAUGGAAGUAAGAAAAUGUAAUAUUAGCCUAUUGUAGAACAACAAACAACAA